rnacentral:rRNA from 1 species
CUGGCGGCGUGCCUAAUACAUGCAAGUCGAACGGUCUUUCUAUGGAAGCUUGCUUCCACUGAGAAGAUAGUGGCGAACGGGUGAGUAACACGUGGGUAACCUGCCCAUAAGAGGGGGAUAACAUCCGGAAACGGGUGCUAAUACCGCAUAGUUUUCUUGAUCGCAUGAUCGGGAAAGGAAAGACGGCCUUUGUGCUGUCGCUUAUGGAUGGACCCGCGGCGUAUUAGUUAGUUGGUGAGGUAACGGCUCACCAAGACGAUGAUACGUAGCCGACCUGAGAGGGUGAUCGGCCACAUUGGGACUGAGACACGGCCCAAACUCCUACGGGAGGCAGCAGUAGGGAAUCUUCCGCAAUGGACGAAAGUCUGACGGGGCGACGCCCGCGUGAACGAAGAAGGCCGUGAGGUUGUAAAGUUCUUUUCGGGAGGGGGAACAACCGUGGCAGGGAAUGGCCGCGGGAUGACGUGAAUCCCGGAAUAAGCCCCGGCUAACUACGUGCCAGCAGCUGC